GGUCGGUUUGCCGAGUGGCUAGGCAACGGUCUGCAAAACCGUGUACACCGGUUCGAAUCCGGUACCGACCUCCA
rnacentral:tRNA from 2 species